UGGGGGAUGUAUAGUCUAUGUAUUAGGCUAGCUAUACCGGUUAAAUAUUAAUUCUUUUAGUUUUAUUAUUUAAUGAUUAUUUCUGGUAGAUAUAAGUUUUAACUUCAUUAGUUUAAUACCUAAUUUUUGUUUAUUUUACUUGUAAAAGAAACUACAUCAGUUUUGACUACUUUAUAGUUUUAUAUUAGAAAUCUUAUUUUUAAUUUCUAUUUAUUAACUGGGUUUUAAAUUCAGGCUAACGGUAUAGUAUCGAUUUUGUCGAAUAAAGUUCUAGAUAUUUUAAUAUGGUUGAUAAUGACAAUCAAAUAUCUAUAUGUCUUGACCAAAUUACGUGCCAGCAGUCGCGGUAAUACGUAAAAGACUAGUGUUAUUCAUCUUUAAUAGGUUUAUAGGGUACCUAGACGGUAAAUUUAAUCUUAAACAGGAUAUGUUUUUACUAGAGUUUUAUGGGAGGAGGUGCGUAUUUAUGGAGUAGAGUUGAAAUUCUUUGAUCCCAUAACGACUGGUAAAGGCGAAAGCAACCUUUUAUCUAAUAACUGACGUUGAGGGACGAAGGCUCGGGUCGCGAACAGGAUUAGAUACCCUAGUAGUCCAAGCAGAAAAUGAUGAAUGCCAUAGGUUAGAUAUUUAUUUAGUCUAUAAAUGAAAGUGUAAGCAUUUCACCUCAAGAGUAAUGUGGCAACGCAGAAACUGAAAUCAUUAGACCGUUUCUGAAACCAGUAGUGAAGUAUGUUAUUUAAUUCGUAGUUACGCGAAAAACCUUACCACAAUUUGAAUAUUAUAUUAAUCUUUCGUAAUUCUUUUCAUGUAAGAGGCACUUAUAUCGGUUGGAGCAUUUAUUUAUGUCUUUGGUUGAAACAUAUUUGGUGCAUAUUAAUAUAGGUUUUAGUCGGGAAACCGUGUAAAAACUAUUUUAUAAUCUAGCCGGUAUUUGUUUGAUAGAUUAAUAUAUUACAAGCGUUGCACGGCUGUUUUUAGUUAAUGUCGUGAGAUAUUGGUUUGUUCCUUUAAAUUAACGGAAGCCCUUGCUUUAUUUGUAUCUUUUUAGAUAAAUAAAGCAGUUCACCUGGAUAUGGGUUAUGAUAACAGGGAGUAAGACGAG
rnacentral:rRNA from 1 species